AUUCAGCUGACGAGUCCCAAAAUAGGACGAAACACGUGUCAAAACUAGAU
rnacentral:hammerhead_ribozyme from 1 species